rnacentral:rRNA from 1 species
GACGAACGCUGGCGGCGUGCCUAAUACAUGCAAGUCGAGCGAGACUCUUCGGAGUCUAGCGGCGGACGGGUGAGUAACACGUGGGCAACCUGCCUGUAAGACUGGGAUAACACCGGGAAACCGGUGCUAAUACCGGAUAAUCCUUUUCCCCUCAUGAGGAAAAGCUGAAAGUCGGUUUCGGCUGACACUUACAGAUGGGCCCGCGGCGCAUUAGAUAGUUAGUGAGGUAACGGCUCACCAAGGCGACGAUGCGUAGCCGACCUGAGAGGGUGAUCGGCCACACUGGGACUGGAACACGACCCAGACUCCUACGGGAGGCAGCAGUAGGGAAUCUUCCACAAUGGACGAAAGUCUGAUGGAGCAACGCCGCGUGAGCGAUGAAGGCCUUCGGGUCGUAAAGCUCUGUUGUUAGGGAAGAACAAGUACCGGAGUAACUGCCGGUACCUUGACGGUACCUAACCAGAAAGCCACGGCUAACUACGUGCCAGCCGCCGCGGUAACAC